rnacentral:rRNA from 1 species
UGGGUAAUCUGCCCUCGAUUCUGGGAUAGCCCGGGGAAACCCGGAUUAAUACCGGAUAGCCUCUCGAGCUUUCGGGCUCGUGAGAAAAGGUAGCUUCGGCCUCCGAUCGAGGAUGAGCCCGCGGCGGAUUAGCUUGUUGGUGAGGUAACGGCUCACCAAGGCGACGAUCCGUAGCUGGUCUGAGAGGACGAUCAGCCACACUGGGACUGAGACACGGCCCAGACCUCCGUACGGGAGCAG